rnacentral:rRNA from 1 species
UUUCCUUCGGGACAGAGGUGACAGGUGGUGCAUGGUUGUCGUCAGCUCGUGUCGUGAGAUGUUGGGUUAAGUCCCGCAACGAGCGCAACCCCUAUUGUUAGUUGCCAUCAUUUAGUUGGGCACUCUAGCGAGACUGCCGGUAAUAAACCGGAGGAAGGUGGGGAUGACGUCAAAUCAUCAUGCCCCUUAUGACCUGGGCUACACACGUGCUACAAUGGCUGGUACAACGAGUCGCGAGUCGGUGACGGCAAGCUAAUCUCUUAAAGCCAGUCUCAGUUCGGAUUGUAGGCUGCAACUCGCCUACAUGAAGUCGGAAUCGCUAGUAAUCGCGGAUCAGCACGCCGCGGUGAAUACGUUCCCGGGCCUUGUACACACCGCCCGUCACACCACGAGAGUUUGUAACACCCGAAGUCGGUGAGGUAACCUUUUAGGAGCCAGCCGCCUAAGGUGGGAUAGAUGAUUGGGGUGAAGUCGUAACAAGGUAGCCGUAUCGGAAGGUGCGGCUGGAUCACCUCCUUU